rnacentral:rRNA from 1 species
AGCGAACGCUGGCGGCAGGCCUAACACAUGCAAGUCGAACGAACCUUUCGGGGUUAGUGGCGGACGGGUGAGUAACACGUGGGAACGUGCCUUUAGGUUCGGAAUAACUCAGGGAAACUUGUGCUAAUACCGAAUGUGCCCUUCGGGGGAAAGAUUAAUCGCCUUUAGAGCGGCCCGCGUCUGAUUAGCUAGUUGGUUGAGGUAAUGGCUCACCAAGGCGACGAUCAGUAGCUGGUCUGAGAGGAUGAUCAGCCACAUUGGGACUGAGACACGGCCCAAACUAGUACGGGAGGCAGCAGUGGGGAAUCUUGCGCAAGGGGCGAAAGCCGGACGCAGCCAUGCCGCGGGAAUGAUGAAGGUCUUAGGAGUGUAAAAUUCUUUCACCGGGGACGAUAAUGACGGUACCCGGAGAAGAAGCCCCGGCUAACUUCGUG